rnacentral:tRNA from 1 species
UGCUCGCAUGAUGGAAUUGGCAGACAUGUUGCACUUAAAAUGCAGUGGCAUUGAGUCCGUGCCGGUUCGAGUCCGGCUGUGAGUAU